AUUGAACGCUGGCGGCAGGCCUAACACAUGCAAGUCGAGCGGAUGAAGGGAGCUUGCUCCUGGAUUCAGCGGCGGACGGGUGAGUAAUGCCUAGGAAUCUGCCUGGUAGUGGGGGAUAACGUCCGGAAACGGGCGCUAAUACCGCAUACGUCCUGAGGGAGAAAGUGGGGGAUCUUCGGACCUCACGCUAUCAGAUGAGCCCAGGUCGGAUUAGCUAGUUGGUGGGGUAAAGGCCUACCAAGGCGACGAUCCGUAACUGGUCUGAGAGGAUGAUCAGUCACACUGGAACUUGGACACGGUCCAGACUCCUACGGGAGGCCGCAGUCGGGAAUAUUGGACAAUGGGCGAAAACCUGAUCCAGCCAUGGCGCGUGUGUGAAGAAGGUCUUCGGAUUGUAAAGCCCUUUAAGUUGGGAGGAAGGGCAGUAAGUUAAUACCUUGCUGUUUUGACGUUACCAACAGAAUAAGCACCGGCUAACUUCGUG
rnacentral:rRNA from 1 species